rnacentral:rRNA from 1 species
AUGGAGAGUAUCGGGAGUUGGACACCUCCCCUUUCAGGCACAUUGCUAUCGCAUCCGAUGUUGGUGCGGAGGGAUACUACACUGCUGCCUACUCCACUGUCACCCGAGAGCCCUUCUACUAUCAGAACUUGGUUCUGCAUGCUGAUGGGCUGGAUCGAGCUAACCGAGCUCUUCACCACGAGUUGUACACCACCCGUCAGCACCUUUAGUCAUGAAUUUAGGAGCUCGAAUGUCGAGGCUCACAAUUUAGCGAAGCAUGCUCUCUCACUUGGUGUUGGCCGACGUGUGUGGUUAGGCAACUCAGGUGAUCUUUUUUUCGUCCCUGUAAACAUUGUGACGAGUUAA